rnacentral:lncRNA from 1 species
CAAUGAGGCAGCAAGUUAGACAAGACUAGGAGUCAAGGAGGAUUCUGGGAAAUGUAGUAAAAAAGUGGUGAUCCAGGCAGGAAGUGACAGCAGAGAGACUCAUAUUUAAGCAAGGACAACAGGAAGUGGUUCCUUUCCCCUUCGCUCUUCUUCCUGCUCUGUGCUCUGAGCCAUCAUGUGAUCCCGGGGAUGAGGAUGCCAGUGGAAGGCAUCUGAUAAGAUAAGUCUUAUAAAAUAUAUAGAUUUAUGAUAAUUAAGACUUGGCUAGCAGAUGAGAAAUCCUAGUCAUUGGCCAAGCAGCAUUUGUACCUAAUAUAAGUCUCUGUGUAUUAUUUUGGCCAUCCACGUGGCAGGCAGAACUCAAGCGAGUAGUGGAAAGAUUUAUCGAGACAGGGAACACUCCUCCACUGCUGGUGGGAGUGAAAACUUGUACAGCCACUUUGGAAAUCAGUAUGACAGUUCCUCAGUAAAAUGGGAAUCAGUCUACCACAAAAUCCAGCAAUUCCACUCUUAGGCAUAUACCCAAAAGAUGCACAUUCCUACAAGACAUCUGUUCAACUAUGUUCAUAGCAACAUUAUUUGUAAUAGCCAGAACCUGGAAGCAACCAAGGUGCCUCUCAACUGAAGAAUGGAUAGAGAAAAUGUGGUACAUUUACACAAUGGAGUACUACUGGGGCUGGGGGGAAGGAACAAUGGAAUCUUGAAAUUCGAAGGCAAAUGGAUGGAACUCGAAGAAACCAUCCUGAGCAAGGUAACCCAGUCACAAAAAGACAAAUAUGUAGCUGAUAGAAACAGAUGCAGACACCCACAGCUAAACACUGAACUGAACUCCUGGAAUCCAGUUGCAGAGAGGGGAGUGAUGAGCAAAGGGGUCAAGACCAGGCUGAAGAGACCCACAGAAACAGCUGACCUGAACAAG